UACAGAGGGGGCAAGCGUUGUUCGGAAUUACUGGGCGUAAAGGGCGCGUAGGCGGCCUUCUAAGUCGAACGUGAAAUCCCCGGGCUCAACCCGGGAACUGCGUCCGAGACUGGAAGGCUUGAAUCCGGGAGAGGGAUGCAGAAUUCCAGGUGUAGCGGUGAAAUGCGUAGAUAUCUGGAGGAAUACCGGUGGCGAAGGCGGCAUCCUGGACCGACAUUGACGCUGAACGGCGAAAGCUAGGGGAGCAAACGGG
rnacentral:rRNA from 1 species